UAUUGCACCCUGUCCUGUAUGUGCUUUAAAUUAUUUACAUUGUAUUCUUGACAGUCCUGGAAGGCAAAGUUAUUCCCAUUUCACACGAAGAACCUGAGGGACAGAGGUGAUCAGUGCCCUCUCCUGAGAUACCAAAAGCUGGAAUGACCAUUGUUCUGAUCGAUCCUAGAGCAGCUGGAGGCUUGGCUUCAUCCUUUUCAUCACUGUCCCUCGAGUGUGUCUUGUUGGUUACAUGGGACUUAGUAAUGAAACUGCACAUGGGCUUUAUGCCUUUAACAUCACCAAGGUUCUUUCUAAGGCAAUGAUAAUAUAUUACUUGUGUCGGAAUGUGAAAUGAUAUUCUGGGAGACUGUCAAUGAAGACUCGAGAAAAGCCUUUGAGGAAGACUACAAAGAAGGAUGUAGCAAUACUGUAUAGCAGAACGUUUACUGGCCGUGUGACACUGAACUGAAGCAAGCUUGCCGAUGGCAUCCCUCCUGUCCUUAUGAAUUACUAGAGAAACACUUGUACCACACCAGUGCCUGCAUCCCCAUCUCUCCUGGUGUUUGUGAAUGGAGAUUUAUAAAUGAGUCUAUGCAAUAUAUCUCUCUGAUACUUCCACUUUCUAUGUUACAAGACUUUCACAGAGAAUGGAUCGCUCUAAAAGUAUGAGACACUGCUGAAUAACAGUACACUCAUAAAGCCCAUGAAGCACUCCAAGUACUUCAGAUAUUGUCUUUUAUUGUGCCCUUCAUGGACUGUCUCUUGAUCUGGCUGCUGCAAUGAGGAGUGUGCAACUUCUGUCAUGAUGCAUACACAUAUACUCUUAUCAUGUGCACAUAUUUUCUUGUGUAGUUUAUGUAAAACAUUUCAAAUAUCAAUAAACUUCAA